ensembl:lncRNA
CACAGCUUUCUUAUCCAUUCAUCUGCUGAUGGACAUCUAGGUUGCUUCCAUGUUCUGACUAUUAUAAACAGUGCUUCGAUGAACAUUGGGGUACACGUGUCUCUUUCAAUUCUGGUUUCCUCAGUGUGUAUGCCCAGUAAUGGGAUUGCUGGGUCAUAAGGCAGUUCUAUUUCCAGUUUUUUAAGGAAUCUCCACACUGAAAACUCUUAAUGAAACAGCACUAAGAUCAGUGAGCAGCACAUUCUAUCUGUGACUAUUGUUUGUAUUUACCUCUUUUGCUUUGAGAGGUAGGGAACAAUAUCUAUCUUCUAUGUCGAGAUGAUAGACUUUUACUGAAGCAAUAAUAAUUCUGUUAAAUUAAUACUUAACCCAAAGUCAAAUAUUUUCCCCGUUGUUUUUUUAGUCAUUCUAAGUUCUAAAUCCUAAAUUAGUUUUGAGGCUCACAUGGAAGUAGUACCACUGUUUAUAUGAAAAGAAUAAUGCUCAUACUAUAAAAUUAGUGUGAAAUUUCUGCGUGAUGAGAAAAAUUAUUAUCAAACUAAAUAUAACCUUAAUAAAGCUAUUAAUUUGAAAAAGAAUUUAAAGGCUAAAUUUAUUUAAAAAAUGAAGAAAUUAAUCUUGUCUCUAUUCUCUGCAAAGUUAAAUUUUUCUGUUGCAUUAUUUAAUCCUUACUGAGCUCUUUCUAUUGGCAUGCAUUGAUCUAAAUGCUUUGCCUUUAUUAACUCAGUUAUUGUAACGACCUAAUGAUUCCAUUAUUAUUGGUCUUAUUAUACAGAUAGAUGUUACACAGUCAGUUAGCAGGGAUGAUGUUCUGAAAUUCUUAACUGAUGUAUUACGUCCUCUUCUCUUUUGAGAUUCAGCUGCCUUACUUUGUUCUUUUGAGACAUGGUCCUCUGUUGAUCUUCCUCCAUUCUGUUUAUAUUCAACUACACAUCCAAAUUGAUAUCCAACUACACAUCCAUUUGAAUUUUUUUCCUGGAAUUUUUUCUCUUUCACAUCAUUCAGUACGUUUACUUCCCUUUGUGUCUCCUCUGUGCCAUUCAGCUUUUCUGAAAGUAUAAUUCCUCUUCUUUUCCUUUAUAUCUGUCCUUUAGUAACAUUUUACCUUAAUUAGUUCUGGAAACUCUUCAAUAUUUUUCUGCUGCUGCUGCUGCUAAGUCGCUUCAGUCGUGUCUGACUCUACUUGCUCUUAAUUAUCAAAACAGAAUAAUAACGACAUUCAAGGAAUUUUAAAAAUGAAAUUCAAAUCACCCGCCCACUAUUCCAUGCAUGCACAUUACUUUUUUUGCAUGUUAGUGUCCAGCCUCCUGUACGUAUUUUUUUGUGGGGACACAUACAUUUUGUAUUUACCCACCAUGAGUGAUUUGUGUUUGGAUUUUUUCACUGAUUAGUGGAUUAAAUUUUUUCUUCUUUUUAGAGCUGUCCUUAGAACUACCUUUGUAGUAUUUCAUAAAAAUUCUGUUACUUGAAAUAACACAAUCUACCUAGCCAUUUUCCUGCUGUUGAAAGGUUGACUUUAAUCAUUUCCUGUUUGAAAUUUUGUAAUGAAUGUUUGUGCAUGAACAGAGCUUUUUAAACAAAUGAUUUAUUCUUGUACUAUUAAUUUAUAUAAGUUAAUUUAAGUCAACGAGUCAGCCUUUUUCUAGUUUUUGAUACAUACUGUUAAAUUGCUUUUGCUUUUAACUGGCAAGAUUUUUUUAUUGAGUUGUAGCAAAUCUUAAGAAGAAGGCAAUGGCAACCUACUCCAGUGCUCUUGCCAGGAAGAUCCCAUGGAUGGAGGAGCCUGGAAGGCUGCAGUCCAUGGGGUCACUGAGGGUUGGACACGACUGAGCGAGUUCCCUUUCACUUUUCACUUUCAUGCAUUGGGAAAGGAAAUGGCAACCCACUCCAGUGUUCUUGCCUGGAGAAUCCCAGGGACAGAGAAGCCUGGUGCGCUGCCAUCUAUGGGGUCGCACAGAGUCGGACACUACUGAAGUGACUUAGCAGCAGCAGCAAAUCUUAAAGUGUAUGCUCAAUUUUUUUUACAUAUGUCAACUGUAACCAUUACCGUCUAAAAUAGGAUUUUUCCAGUUUUCAAAAGCUGUCAUUAGGCUUCUGCUCAGGCAUAGAGUAAUUGUGCCUGUUUUACUGGGUACUGUGUAUGUUGCUUCUUCUUUGCUUUUCUGUUGUAUGCCUUUGGGUGAAUAUAGAACAGUUUACUAAGUCUAUUAUUGAUGGGCAUUUGGGUUCUUUUCAAAUGUUUCUGGGUUACUACAAUAAAGCUGCCUUAAAACACACUUUAUAUGCCUUUUGUUGGACCUGAGCCUUCAUUUCUGAAGGGUAUAUUCCCAAGAGUGAAAUUACUGAUCAUCAAGGAUAUUACCUUCUUAAAGUUUAAAAUUUAUUUAAAAUACUAGUAAACUAUUUCUAGAUUAUAAAUUGAUCAGAA